rnacentral:lncRNA from 1 species
CAGGAACGCAAGCUAUAAAUACUUAUCGACGUUGUCAAGUGUCUUGUUGAUGUGGCCGUAUUUGACAAAUCAGAGUAUCUUACACAAGCAAAAAAAAAUUGUCGAUGUCAUCAAGUUUCUUCCUGAAAUUUGAUUCGAAUUAUUGAUGUCAUCAAGUUUCUUCCUGAAAUUUGACGAAUCAAAAGAUAUAUUCCGUGAAUUAGGUAAGAGGGAGCACACUUUUUUUUGAAGCUAUAUAACUUUUUCCUUUUCGUUUCAAUGUAAA